CAGAGGUGGCAAGCGUUGUUCGGAAUUACUGGGCGUAAAGGGCGCGUAGGCGGCCUUGUCAGUCAGACGUGAAAUCCCCAGGCUUAACCUGGGAACUGCGUCUGAUACUACAAGGCUUGAGUGCGGGAGAGGGAUGUGGAAUUCCAGGUGUAGCGGUGAAAUGCGUAGAUAUCUGGAGGAACACCGGUGGCGAAGGCGGCAUCCUGGACCGACACUGACGCUGAGGCGCGAAAGCUAGGGGAGCAAACGGGAUUAGAUACCCCGGUAGUCCUAGCCCUAAACGAUGAGUGCUUGGUGUGGCGGGUAUCGAUCCCUGCCGUGCCGAAGCUAACGCAUUAAGCACUCCGCCUGGGGAGUACGGUCGCAAGGCUG
rnacentral:rRNA from 1 species